rnacentral:misc_RNA from 1 species
AGCAGCCGCGGUAAUUCCAGCUCCAAUAGCGUAUAUUAAAGUUGUUGCAGUUAAAAAGCUCGUAGUUGAAUUUCGGGAUUGACACAUCGGUCGUGCCUUAAGGGGUAUGAACUGGUGUAGUCAAUUUCUCACCUUCUGGAGAACCGCGAUGCCCUUAAUUGGGUGUCGCGGGGAACCAGGACCUUUACUUUGAAAAAAUUAGAGUGUUUAAAGCAGGCAUUUUGCUUGAAUACAUUAGCAUGGAAUAAUAAAAUAGGACGGCAUGAUUCUAUUUUGUUGGUUUCUAGGAUCACCGUAAUGAUUAAUAGGGAUAGUUGGGGGCAUUAGUAUUCAAUUGUCAGAGGUGAAAUUCUUGGAUUUAUUGAAGACUAACUACUGCGAAAGCAUUUGCCAAGGAUGUUUUCAUUAAUCAAGAACGAAAGUUAGGGGAUCGAAGACGGUCAGAUACCGUCGUAGUCUUAACCAUAAACUAUGCCGACUAGGAAUCAGACGAUGUUAAUUUUUUAAUGACUCGUUUGGC